ACCGCCCGCCGGUGCUUUUACGAAGACCCCGCCGCCGCCCCGCGCGCACCGCGCGUCUAACUCCGACCCGCUGCGCGCUGCCUCUCCCAUUUUCCUCUCGUCUCUCUCCCUGUCCCUCUCUCCGAUGGCCUCCAUCGACGGCGCGGCGCCCGCCGCCACUGCCGGCUCUCUUUUUCCUCUUCUAUCCUUUCACUCUUUGCCCGUUCCGGAUGCCGCGCUUGCGCUGCAGCCCCCCUCUCCCCCCUCCCGUUCCUUCCUUUCCCUUCCUCUCCCUUCUUUCAGCCUCUCGCCGUCUGGCGCUCCGGGAGGUCGCCCCCUUUUUUUUUGUAUUUUGCCGUAGCAGCCUCUGUACUCCCGCAUCCAGGCCCUGAAAGGAGACUGCUUUUGCCGGGGGAGUUUAACCCUGAAGUCAGUACCUGCUGUCAUUUCUAAACGGGAUUAAAUACAUGGUGAUUCUGGGAAAUACAAUGGACUGAUGGAAGGAGGGAUGUGCAUUCAGCAAGCAAGCAAUGAUUGUGGCUAGAAAACUCGUAUGAGCAGCAACAUAACAGGCAUGGACUCUUUCUCUCUCUUGCUCUAUGGCUAUAUAUUCAGAAAUAAAUCAUGUGUACUUUCGUCUCAGAGAUCACAAGUUUCCUACAUAUGUAGUAUUCCCAGACUCUUAAUUAAACACUUCCCUCUUGGCACAUUUGUGGCCUGCGUCCAAGUCUGAAGUCUGAACAAUCUGAUAUAUGCCUCCUUUCUUCAUGGGACCUAGCUCACUUUCCUUUCCAAUUUAUAAGCGUCCAAUUUUCUCUUUUGCAUAUAGAGUGAGCAUAGCAUGUCAAAGAUGUAUUUGAGUUGAGUAUUGAUUGGUUCAAACUGCAAAAUAAACUAAUUAACCUGUCCACCUCUAAGCCUAUUUGCCAAUUGGUUAUAUCUAUUUAUGUCUGAAUUAGAACAUGCAAACCUGCAGUACAGUAGGUCAUCAGGUGCUUAUAGUGGAGCAUAUCAGCUUCUAACAUAUUAGUCAAUAAGAAAUCAGCGUAUGCAAUCAGUAUUUACACAUGACAGAAGCACCACACUAGAGGCACCACGUUCAAAACCGCAAAAAUGAUUAUCAUGUACCAGUUUUCGGUUUUCCAUUUAGCUUAUACUUGAUCGAUGAAGUUCUCCAAGUUGUUAGAAGUUCCCUACUAAACUUAUUUGCUGAUCUGAUGCACGUAACAGAUUAGUGAAAAAAUGUAAGACAAGUAGUGGUUGAUUGCUAUACUGCCUUUUUGUCAAUAUUGAUAGUUCAAAAACCGCAAGUUUAACUUUAAACAUCAGAAAUGUGUUUUUUGAACGGCUUUUUCUUUGGUCACAAUCAAUGCCAAUGCUUUUCAGAUUAUUCCUUAUCACCAAUGACAAAAUUCAGAAUUCUUGUCAAUUUACAAAGCCCAGCAAAAAAGUGAACCUCUCUCGUCGCCCUCCUUUCUCUUCCUCUUGCUCUCUCCUUCCCUGUCUUCUCUUCUCUCCUAAUUCUCCUCCCUCACCCGGAUCUCCCUCCGUCUACCACCCCUCCCAUACCCCUUCCGCGUGCCCCUCACCAACAGCUGUGUGAGGGGCGACGAGCGGCGGCGGCGCACGGGGACGAGGUCCAGUGGCAGCCGAUGGGGUGAGGCGUCGGAGGGGCGCACAAGGGCAAGGCGACGACCCUGUGCAGGACCCUGUGCAGUGGCGGACAGUGGGGACGAGGCGCGGUGGGCGGCAGUGAGCGUGGCCGCGGCGGUGGGGCAGCUGCAGGGCCGCGACAGUGGGUGGUAACGAGUGGGGCCGUGACACGGCAGUGGUGGCAACGCGCAUGGCUGGAGCAGCGGUCGGUGGUGGGAGGUAUUUUCUUUUUUAUUUUUUUAGUGGGCAUCACCGCUGGUUCCGAUCCGGCGGUGCUAACGAUCUCUAUCACCGCCGAUCUAAAUCCAACGGGGCUCAAAAUCGGCGGUGAUAGGGCCCUGUGUAGUAGUGUUUAGCCUAGUAGUUUUUUUCUUUGCUUUCGAGCUUUCUUGUGUUUUUUGCCCCACAUUUGAGAUUUAAAUUCUAAGAACUCUUGUAAAUCAUGGCUGUAUAUAUCCACCAUGUGGAUAUAGUAGGCUGGUUUAUCUUUUAUCUUGAAAAA